rnacentral:rRNA from 1 species
UACGUAGGCAGCAAGCGUUGUUCGGAGUUACUGGGCGUAAAGGGUGUGUAGGCGGUUGUUUAAGUUUGGUGUGAAAUCUCCCGGCUCAACUGGGAGGGUGCGCCGAAUACUGAAUGACUAGAGUGCGGGAGAGGAAAGUGGAAUUCCUGGUGUAGCGGUGAAAUGCGUAGAUAUCAGGAGGAACACCGGUGGCGAAGGCGGCGAUCUGGCCCAACACUGACACUGAGACCCGAAAGCGUGGGGAUCAAACAGG